CACUGGUCUUCACAUCCGAGGCUCACUGGUAGAAUCCUGGGUUAGAAGAUGGGGCAUUGAAAAGCAACUGGGUCUAAUCUGAACAUUGUCGUUUUUCCAGAAACACCACAGCUCAUAGAAGGAAAGGAGCUAGUCAAGCUCACACAGGAAUUGGCAGCAGAACCAGGCCCGGAACUUGUAUUUCUGCUAGGUGCUGCAUUCCCAAUUCAUAGGAUCGGCUGUCAGUGCAAAGCAAACAGCAGGUGAGGCAGGUGUGGUCGCUAACUGGUGUCCUGGCACUGUGGGUCACCGAGCUUUAGCCUGGCACCCCAUUAGUGUCUUAACCCCAUCUGUCACUCUCUUCACCCUGAAGACUCCACAGUGCACAGAAAUAAACUGCUCUCAGCAAGCUCCUGAAACUGGAGACGAAAUGGCCCACAGAGAUCACCUGCUCCAGCUCCGUCUGCCAGGCGGAGUCCCCAGCACCUGGGCUGGGAAGCAGUUCCAAGAACCAGUGAGCCCGACAAGCUUGCAGGUUGGCAGGCAGACCCCGUGGAGGCAGAGGUGGUGAGUGGGCCGUGGAGGGAAGUACGAGGUGUAGAGUGAGCCCAGGUGGUUGGGACAGAAAAACGAUCAUUUGUUACCUGGGAUUCAGAAAAGCCUUGACCAGGCCUUGCCCUUCUCAGGUUACUCCAGGAGCUGGGAUCCAGAGGAGGAACACGCUCACCCCAGAAGAAGGGAGGGUCAAUUUCCAGAGAGUUGGCUAGAGUUGGCUGUUGACAUUGACACCAGCAGACCCAUGAAGCCAGCUUUCCCAGAAGCUCAGAUGAACUGGCGAGAAGCAGAAAUGCUCGCAUACCUCAGGAAACAUCUGCAGAUCCUCAAGGAGGCGAGACCUGCCCCUUUAUCGCCUUUCUAGGAGAGAUAGCAGGCUUGUCCCUUCUGCAGAGAUAGGACAAACACACUGCUUUUACUUUCCAGGCUGGGUCCCUGCACAUGGAAUGAUUCACUCCUAUUAAACUUUAGAAUCCUUAGGAACUUGGGAGCAGAGCCCAUCCUGGUCAGCAGGCUCACAGUCCUGAAACCAGAGCCACUCCCUGCCUUUUAUGGCUCUCAGAGCAAGGAGGCAGGGAUACGCAGCACUUGCAAUUCCAGGUAAUUGGUGCAUGAGAGGGGAUGUGUUGUAAGGGGAAAGUAUGGACUUUGGAGUCAGAAAGACCUGUUUCUUCACAUCCUGGUUGUGCGACUUCGGGCAAAUUUCCUAACCUUGCUAGGGUGUUUCUUCAUCUGAAAGAAAUGUAAAUAAUUAUAUUUUUGUUGCACAAUUUCCAUGAGAAUUAAAAGCAACAAGUACAUCAAUACUUAAAAUUGCCUAGCAUGUAAUGGGGGCUCACUAAAUGAUAACUAGUAGUAUUAAUAUUACUAGUAUUAUUAUAAAGACACUAGUAGGGGCAUCUAUAAAUGGUGUUGUUAAGGAGAAAGCAACAGAAGGGCUAUAUGAGCAGGGUUUUGACAAGUAAGUAGGAGUUUGUUGAGUGGCCAGUGGGCAGAACAGUUUCUAAUUAGAAACAACAGCAAGAACAGCUUUGUAAGGAGCCUGGAAUGGUCAGCCAACAUGAGAGGCCUAGGCAGAAACUAUCGAAAUAUUCCCAUCAAGCAAUAAGGGACUAGCUUGGAGCAAGAUGACUCUAAAAUCUCCUUUCUAUUGUCCUCAAAUAAGGGAACAUAAACACUUUUCAGCAUAAAUUCAUAAACCAGCAUUCCUGUAAGCUCUGCUCCCUGAAGCAAAGCAGCCCCCAUGCCCCAUGCCCCAUGCCCCACUGGGAACAACCGAAGAUGAGGAUUGCCUCCAGGUACCCAAGCCUCUGAUUCACCUUCUCCAGUUUCACGGGCUUGGGUUUCAUACCUGGUGGAGCCACUUUCCUUACUGUAUGACCUUGGCAAGCCACCUGCCUCCCAUGUCCCAGUUUUGUUAUCGGAAAGGAUGGGAGUAGUUAUAUGUUAUGUACAAGUGCUCAGCACACGGCAGGUCCUCUGCUGUCAGGAACACAGGCUGCUCUCACACCUGAACUUAUUCUGGAGUAAGGGCACGACUGACCUAUUCCUGGGGAACCCUCAAAAUCUCAACCACUUAGGAAAGAAAACUAGACUUUCACUCAAAUGGUGUAUUUUAGAUACUGCUCUGCACUUUGCUUUUCUCAAUGAAUAACAGAUCAUGUCAAUGUAGAUCUUCCUCGUUACUGUUUUUAUCAAGAUAUAGUUCACAUACAUUAAGCUCACCCUUUUAGAGUAUACAAUUCAGUGGUUUUUAGUAUCUUAGUCCCUUGUAUUUUAGAUUGUUUUCACUAGGUUAUGCAACCAUCACUACUAAUUUCAGAACAAUUUCAUCAUUCCAAAAAGAGACCUUGUACCCAUUAGCAAUCAUUCUUCAUUCUCCACCAUCAGCCCCUGAUUAACUACUUAUCUUAUUUUCUGUCUCUCUGGAUUUGCCUAUUCUGGACAUUAUAUAUAAAUAGAAUCACAUUGUAUGAGGCUUUUUGUGUCUGGCCUUACACUUAGCAUAAUGUCAGAGUUCAUCCACAUUGUAGCACGUAUCAGGAUUUCAUUAUGACUGAUAUGCUGUUGUAUGGACAUAACACCACAUUUUAUUUAUUUACUAGCUGAUGAACAUCUGGAUUGUUUCUACUUUUUUUGCUAUUAGGAAUAAUCCUCAUUCUUUCUAAUGGUUGUAUAGCUUCUACUGAUUGGCGAUAGCAUAAUUUAUGUAAGCAUGUCCUACUGAAGGAUAGUUCUGAUCUUUCCCAUUUAUGGCUAAUGAAAAUGUUAAUGCAAAAAUGUUGCCACAACAUCCUGCAACUUUUCAUAAGAGGUAGUCAAAACUUGCCCUUUUCCUGAGGAUAUUAUCUAACCGAAGCCAAAAGCUAUACUGACUAAGAUAUUAAUUGCAGCAAUAUUCACAGAAACAUAAAACUGGAACUACUUAAAGAGACCACAAUAGGGAGCUAAUUAACUUCUAGUAUUUGAUGAAACACUGUACAGUCAGUUUAAAAAAAUGACAAUUAUGAAGGCAAUGUAGCAGUGAGUAACUUGCUAAUGAUGACCUUAAAUGAAAAAAAUGCAACAAAAUGCAAAAUGACCUCACUCGCCUGCUCUAGUUCUCACAAUAGUAACAAGUGAGGCUGAGAAGCUCGGCCAGGCCUUCGGGCCCCCAGCUUCCCAUCUCUGCCACAUCCACAUGAUGAACAGGGCUGGGCUCCCUCUCUAAGGAGCAGGCUGGGGCCCCCUGCUGCCCUGCACUGCUGAGGGUGCUGAGACAGGACCCAUCACAGGAGGGGAGGCCCUUCUCCUGAGCAGACAGGGAGCACCAGUCACACUGCUUUCCCUCCUAGCUUUUGGAGGUUCUAGCCCCUUAGGUCACCAGAGGGCAGGUUGUAGCUGGGCUGUGUAACCAUGAUAAGAAUCAAAGACCAAGGUCAUCUUGGGGUUUGAGGAUCAAGUCAUUCACGAAGGUCAUGGGUGACCUGUUGUGAUGGGUACUGUCUGAACUUCCUGUGUGCUGUGCUGGUCUCUCGCCAGCAUUCAGCAUCCAGGACCAACCAUGAUGUCUUCGAGUGCAGCCUGAUACUUACUUCCCAGAGGAGUGACUGCAAAUACGUUCAAGGGCAGCAGUCGGGAAUGCAUUCAACUGAACCAGCCAUGCAAACUUAUUUUUAAUGCAUGCCUUCCAUCGUCAUAAUCAUGUACAAUACCAUCAUUGCCAUUAAGAAUAUGCAACGUAACACAACCAAUGAUGAACAUGCAACCUUUAGUAUGUUAACAGGAAAAAAAUUAGCCCCCAGUGGAUGCUGUUGGUUGUAUGCUUGUGGUCCUGAUUUUUGUGUUGGGUUAUAUUACUAUACUUAAAUUACAUUGAUUGUUUUUUUAAAUAUAAGCUAUAUGUUAUAAUAAAUAAUAAGAUUAUGUGUAUUAUUUCUAAGCAUUCUAAACUCAAAAUAUACUAAAUAUAUAAUUUUGUUAAAUCAAAGUUUAUAUGAAGGAAUAUAAAAGGCCCAUAAUUUGUGAUCUUCUGUACAGGGCACAGUGGUUUUCAAGUACUCUGCUACCAGCCUCUAAGUAGCUCCAGAAACGGUGAAAUGGUUUCCAAAAUGCCCCCCGUCUUAGAAGUUUGAGGCUGUAUUAUUACAGUCACAGCUAAGCUACCAUAACAAAGACACUCUCAAGUAUAGUGGCCCAAGCAUCAGCUAAUGUCUCUCAUCAAAAACUGAACAGCCAGGCUAGGUUGGUGAGGAGUCUCUGAUGAAUAGGUACCCGUUGCUCUACCAUCCCCUGGGGUGUCAUCAUUUGCUUAAUUAAAGCUGGGUUGCUACUCCUGGGAGAGAGGAAAGAAACUACAGCUUAGAUAAAGAGCUUAAGUUAGGACGAUCCAGAAAGUGUGCACAUCACUUCCUUGUAUAUCCUUUUAGUCCAAAUUUAACCACAUGGCUACAUCCAGCCACAAGGGAGGCUAGGAAAUGUAGUUUCUACUCAGCCUAGGAAGAGGCAGAGGAGGAAUUUGGGGUAGCCAGUAGCCAUUUGCCACCAAGACUUUUUUUUAUUAAAAAGAAACUGUAGGUAGCAACAUAAUUAUAUCACACUCCCAUCACAUAACUACUGCCGUUUCUCCACGGUUCCUCCCAUACCUGAUGUGUACAUGUAUUUUCGCAAAGUUGUAAAAAUAGUGUAUAUACGAUUAAACAUUCUACCAGAAUAAAACAAUAUGAUGAAAAUAAUACCCUAUUAAAUCAAUAAUACACUAUUUUGCUUCUGCAGCAUUGGUCGAUUUUUUUAAGUGACAGUAGCCAACCAUGGGGAGCUAAUGGAGAAACAGUCACUCUCAAAGGUUAUGAACAAGGAUGUAAACUUGUGUAACUCUUUUGGAGGCCAAUUUGGUGACUGGAGGCCAAUUUGGUGAUAUAUCUCAAAGGCUUUACAAAUUUAACCUAAAAGGGAAAAUUCAGAAAGAACAGAUCUAAUAAAAAGGCUAGCCAUCAAAGCCUUAUUUAUAAGGCUAAAAAAUGGAACCAAGCAAGAAAUUGUUUAAAUAAACCAUGAUCCAUCCAUUCAUAGGAUAAACUACUACACAGCCAUUAGAAUCAUACUUUUGAAGAAUAUUAAUAAUAUGGAAAUUCUGAUAAUAUAGUGAGAGAAGUGUAUUGCAAAACAGUUCUGAUUCCAAUUUUUUAUUUCAAAUUUGUAAAAAUUAUCCAAACAUAUAAAAAAAGGAUUUGAGGAAUAUGCGCCGAAAUGUUAAAAGUGGUUCUUGUGGGGGAGUGGUAUUAGUGGUGAUUUUUACUUCCUUAUUUAUUCUUUUUAGUAUUUUUCAAAAUGUUUGCAAUGAACAUGUUACUUUUAUAACAAAGGGGUCAUUUAAGGCAUUGAAUUAGGCAUGCAGAAUCCGACCACAUUAAACCAGGACCCAUCAUUAAUCCCUGCUUAUUGAGUGGGUUAACUGCUAUGCACUGUAAUGAGGUACUAUUUCUAGUGUCACAACCACCCUAUGAGACAGCUAUCAUUAAACCCACUUUACAGAUGAGAGAAAUGAGAAUCAGAGAGGUCAAGUGAAUUUCCCAAGGUUAUACAGCCAGUGGCAGAACUGUUUUCCAAUGCAAGUCUCUUUGCCCUAAAACCUGAGGUCCAGUUUCCCAUAUGGCAGCUUCACCCUCCAACACCCACUUAUCACAAAGCCUACAUAUAAUGAAUUUGGACCUAUCCAGACUUAAUGAAUUUACUGGGAUGGGGUCCAAGAAUCUUCCAUUCUUCUUGUUUUUUUAGUCAGUGGUUAGAUUUAUUUUGAAACUGGUUAUUUUUAGUAAGAUCUCUGUAUACUUCGUACCUCUGCUCAAGUUUGGAACCAUUGCCCUAAUCUGUAACCUGGAAUCCUACAGUUCAAUUGUCCAAGAAAGAAAUAGCCCCAGACCCCCAAACCCCACAUUCCACUAGGGGGCGGUGUAGGCAAAUGUACCUAGAAAAGCAGCACAUGGUUGCAGGGAGUGGAGCCAGCCCCGGCAGGCAUUCACUCACUGAGCCAACAGCGAGGGCCUGCCAGCUGCCAGGCACUGGGCCGGACAAUGGUGGGUGAUGCCCUGUUACUCUUCUGCUGUUUAAAAACUAGGAAAGCUGCUUUAGAGCAAUGGUGGAAAAGCAGCGUCAUAAUAGUUUGCAGCUUCUCCCAUCAAAAGGCAAAGUCUAUUUCCCCAGCCCUUGAUUCUGCACUGGCUUCAUGACUUGCUCUGACCAGGAGAACGUGGAGGAAAUGACUUGUGAAGUCCCAGAGCCUCGACCUCAAGGCUGCUCUGUUUCUACCUUUGCCCUUUGGAAGGCUCCUGUCAUCACGAACAGAAAUCCAGGUUGGAAGGCCAUGGGGAGGCGCAGCUGCCCCGCUGAAGUCUCAGACGUGUGCGGGAGGUCACCUGAGACCAUGAAUCCCCCACACCAGCCACUAGCUGACGACAGCUACCUGUGUGAGCCCCACAGACCCAGUCGACCCACUGAAUUGAGAAAAAUAAUAGAUCAUUGUUGUUUUACGCCACUGAGUUUCAAAGUAGGAUAUCACACAGCAAUAGAUAACUGAUAGAUGAGCAAUGCACCAGGCAGUAUUCAUUUGUUUAGCAAUUACUUACGGAGGGCCUACUCUGUACUAUUAUAUCAUCCCGGGUGCUGGGAUAGGAGAUCCCCCCACCUCAUAACAGGAUAAAACAGAUAGUAAAUAAGAAAACUGAUAGAUAUAUAAUUUCAUCUGGGGUACGUGCUGCCAGGCAAGUGGGAUUUGUUAAAUGUAAUGUACUAGUUAGAUAACAAUUUAACUUAUUUGGGAUUCUUUAAAUUUCAAUUCUCCCAUUACUCAGAACAGGGUAAUGUCAGUCAUUCACAUUCGCAAAAUGCUAACUCAAAUGGAUAUAAUCCUAAAGUAUUUGUUCAAAGAUAUCUACAAGUCAUUUUUCUGGCUCUUGAAUCAGCAAAUGAUAUUCCACUUUUCUGUGGUUCUCGUUUUUAGAGUUCUCUUAUGUUCAGAACCUAUUCUUCAGCUCUAAACUACCUCUCUUCAAAGAAUAUCAAAUGGUUUUGAAUCAGAUAAAAAAUUAUGGGGUCCCUAUGACAAUGGUAGAGUAACAUCGGGUUCUCGCUCUCUCCCUCAAAAUCCAUUCUGGAGAAAUUAUUAAAGUGAUGAGGAAGGAUGGAGCUGAGAACCUUGCAAAACCAAAUACAAGAAGAGGCCUGUGGGCCAUGAGACG